rnacentral:rRNA from 1 species
CGUGAGGAACCUGCCUCAAAGAGGGGGACAACAGUUGGAAACGACUGCUAAUACCGCAUAAGCCCACAGCUCGGCAUCGAGCAGAGGGAAAAGGAGCAAUCCGCUUUGAGAUGGCCUCGCGUCCGAUUAGCUAGUUGGUGAGGUAACGGCCCACCAAGGCGACGAUCGGUAGCCGGACUGAGAGGUUGAACGGCCACAUUGGGACUGAGACACGGCCCAGACUCCUACGGGAGGCAGCAGUGGGGAAUAUUGCACAAUGGGGGAAACCCUGAUGCAGCGACGCCGCGUGGAGGAAGAAGGUCUUCGGAUUGUAAACUCCUGUUGUUGGGGAAGAUAAUGACGGUACCCAACAAGGAAGUGACGGCUAACUACGUGCCAGCAGCCGCGGU